GAUGAACGCUAGCGGCAGGCCUAAUACAUGCAAGUCGGACGGGAUUGGAGAGCUUGCUUUCCAUGAGAGUGGCGCACGGGUGCGUAACACGUAUGUAACCUACCUUGUUCAGGGGGAUAGCCUCUCGAAAGAGAGAUUAAGACCGCAUAACAUUGCGAUGUGGCAUCACAUUGUAAUCAAAUAUUUAUAGGAACAAGAUGGGCAUGCGGAACAUUAGCUAGUUGGUAAGGUAACGGCUUACCAAGGCUACGAUGUUUAGGGGAUCUGAGAGGAUGACCCCCCACACUGGUACUGAGACACGGACCAGACUCCUACGGGAGGCAGCAGUAAGGAAUAUUGGUCAAUGGGCGGAAGCCUGAACCAGCCAUGCCGCGUGCAGGAAGACGGCCCUAUGGGUUGUAAACUGCUUUUGCAGGGGAAUAAACCUUGGUACGUGUACCAAGCUGAAUGUACUCUGAGAAUAAGGAUCGGCUAACUCCGUGCCAGCCGCCGCCGUAA
rnacentral:rRNA from 1 species